AUUGAACGCUGGCGGCAUGCCUUACACAUGCAAGUCGAACGGCAGCGCGGGGCAACCUGGCGGCGAGUGGCGAACGGGUGAGUAAUAUAUCGGAACAUACCCUAGAGUGGGGAUAACGUAGCGAAAGUUACGCUAAUACCGCAUACGCACUAAGGUGGAAAGUGGGGGAUUCGCAAGAACCUCAUGCUCAUGGAGUGGCCGAUAUCUGAUUAGCUAGUUGGUGAGGUAAAGGCUCACCAAGGCGACGAUCAGUAGCUGGUUUGAGAGAACGACCAGCCACACUGGAACUGAGACACGGUCCAGACUCCUACGGGAGGCAGCAGUGGGGAAUUUUGGGACAAUGGGGGCAACCCUGAUCCAGCAAUGCCGCGUGAGUGAAGAAGG
rnacentral:rRNA from 1 species